AAAGAUAGGAACUAGUCGAGGAUUAAGAAAAUACUCGUUGUAAUAGGAGUAGAACUUCUCUAGUCGUAUCCGACUAGUAUUCCUAUAAAUCAACCAACAUGUAACCCUACCCUCGAGUAUAUAAGGUGAGGCAGGGACCACCUCCAAAGCAAUUCAAUCCAACCAACACACAGGAUGUAGGGUAUUACGCUAUUUAGUGGCCCAAACCUAUCUAAAUCAUGUGUCUGCAUUUACCUUCAAGUUCCUGAUCUCAACGAGCC
rnacentral:lncRNA from 1 species